CCGACGCUCGCACACGUCAGUCACCAUCGCGGCUGUCGUUUGCAUGCUCUGCCUUCCCUCACACUAUUAAAAAUAGUUUACUGAAGAAAUUGGUGAAUAAUUAAAGCGUCCUCCUACUUCCUUCGCGGGGAGGCGCAGAGUCUGUUUUGAGGAAUUGCCUCCCGCCGGGCAUAACCCUUCGCGUAGUACCGUACAACGUCAUUCGGGGGUGGUUCAACGGCUUCCAAAUCCACCCGGAACCGGGUGAAAAUGGCAGCCCUUACACAAGCACAACAACCGUCGCGGCAUCGCAGUAGGCACGACCCCGACGACUUCGCCUGAAGUUCGCCAUAUACUGAAAUAGCAAAACACGCGCAUUGCAAAACCAACACCGGGACAUUGGAGGAACGCUGCAAAAAGGAUGCUUACAAAUUAUUAAUUCCCCCCCUGCAGCUUACGCACGCACGGCUCACUGACUAUGCUAAUUAAUGCUCGCUGGCACUCAGGCAACGGGCGAAAGCCACGGCAGCGCAUGUGGAUGUCCUUCACCUCCACGCGGUGGCCUCACCGAAGGACCAGUGGGACGCACUCAGCCCCAAAGCAAGAGCAACCAGGGAAUAAGGGAAAGAUGAUAAAAACGAAACUUAAUUUUCUCUUCACGUGCCACUGUCACGCUAUGGCGCGAAGUUCCGAAUUGUUCGCGCGGCUCAGAUGGUGUAGGGUGUGAGUGUGUGAUAAAGCAAUACCACUCCCGGUUAAUUUCUAAGCAAUAAACACGAACGAAUAUACAAAGCUUGAAAGCUUCAACACGGGCAACAGA